rnacentral:rRNA from 1 species
UACGUAGGUGGCAAGCGUUGUCCGGAUUUACUGGGCGUAAAGAGCGCGCAGGCGGUUAUUUAAGUCGGAUGUGAAAGCCCCCGGCUUAACUGGGGAGGGUCAUUCGAUACUGUUUAACUUGAAGGCAGGAGAGGGUAGUGGAAUUCCCGGUGUAGUGGUGAAAUGCGUAGAUAUCGGGAGGAACACCAGUGGCGAAGGCGACUACCUGGCCUGUUCUUGACGCUGAGGCGCGAAAGCUGGGGGAGCAAACGGG